UUUUAAUUUUUCUGAUUAUUUUCUGCUUGUAAUUAUAUUCUGACCAGUUACAGCAGCAGGAAGCAACCAGCUGUUCUUUUCUCUGGGCUCAUUUCUCCUCAUGACUCCAUCAUGAAACAUUUUCAUCAGAACUUCUCUCCUGUCUCAUGAAGAUUUAUCAACCUGCCUCUGAUUUCACUGCAGAACUUCUACUUCCUGGUUCUGCUGCUCUGAAAGAAGAAACUACAAACCAGGUGUGGCAUUAGUCUGGUUCUCCUGCGGUUCUGUUGGGUCUCAGUCUGUUGUUCAGAUGUUCGUCUUCAACUCUUUGGACAGUUUGAACAAACUGAAUCAAACUCCAGUCUCAACCAUUAAUGUCAAACAAAAGAGUUUCGUUUCUGCUUUGUUUCAAAUUGAAAUAUUAUUCUUAAAAUGUCUUUGAUUCAGUCAGAUUUUGAUGGAGCAGAUAAUCCACUUGUUCAGGUCACACUUGUUGUAGAGAUUAAUAAUUAACUAACUAAAAUACUUCCUGUUGUUCAGGUUGAAUCAGUGAAUGUAAAUGUUGCUCCAUGUCUCCAUCUAGUGGACUGAUA